rnacentral:rRNA from 1 species
ACGUAGGCGGCAAGCGUUGUCCGGAAUUAUUGGGCGUAAAGGGAGCGCAGGCGGGAAACUAAGCGGAUCUUAAAAGUGCGGGGCUCAACCCCGUGAUGGGGUCCGAACUGGUUUUCUUGAGUGCAGGAGAGGAAAGCGGAAUUUCCAGUGUAGCGGUGAAAUGCGUAGAUAUUGGGAAGAACACCAGUGGCGAAGGCGGCUUUCUGGACUGUAACUGACGCUGAGGCUCGAAAGCUAGGGUAGCGAACGG